rnacentral:rRNA from 1 species
GACGAACGCUGGCGGCGUGCCUAAUACAUGCAAGUCGAGCGAAGUUUUUCUGGUGCUUGCACCGGAAAAACUUAGCGGCGAACGGGUGAGUAACACGUAAAGAACCUGCCUUAUAGACUGGGACAACUAUUGGAAACGAUAGCUAAUACCGGAUAACAGCAUUAACUGCAUGGUUGAUGUUUGAAAGUUGGUUUUGCUAACACUAUGAGAUGGCUUUGCGGUGCAUUAGCUAGUUGGUGGGGUAAAGGCCUACCAAGGCGACGAUGCAUAGCCGACCUGAGAGGGUGAUCGGCCACACUGGGACUGAGACACGGCCCAGACUCCUACGGGAGGCAGCAGUAGGGAAUCUUCCGCAAUGGGCGAAAGCCUGACGGAGCAACGCCGCGUGAGUGAAGAAGGAUUUCGGUUCGUAAAGCUCUGUUGCUAGGGAAGAAUGAUUGUGUAGUAACUAUACACAGUAGAGACGGUACCUAACCAGAAAGCCACGGCUAACUACGUG